AACCCUUGUGUUUUUGAUGAACUGGUGAACAAACACAUAAAAGACAGGUAAAGAGUAAAGCAAAAUCCAAUUUUGCAACCAAAACUCAUGGUUCAGCAUGAGUUAUUUAACAGAUAAGGAGGAAUAUG
rnacentral:snoRNA from 1 species